AUUGUUAAUUACUCCCCGUAGACGUUUCAGUAGCUUGCUAGCUACAAAUAAUAUUUUGACAACAAUGGACGAGAGGAAUGUUUACAAUGUUACACCACACAGGCGUCGUCACAAUCAAAUGGUACCCCCGGAAACAAUAUAAAAGUGUUUACGUAACGGUAUCUAGCUAACUGUAGACUAACUUGCACGAAAUACAAUACGAGUAAAAUACCAAAAUAAGCCUUAGCCUCACGAGACUCCAAGAGUGGAACCAUGGAAGUGGUGCGGUUAUUUACAGACCUACUAGCAGUGCACAGACAGCAGCUACAAGCCCUGACUGUACAGGGAGAGAUCCAGACUCUAUGGUACAGUUACUGGAGAAGGAGGUGCUCAGGAGAAUGGAGCCCAAUGUGAAGCUGGAGGAAGUGGAGGAUCAAGCCUGAGCCCAGUCAGGGCAGAACAGAGACUACAGCAGCAGGGCUUCAGCUCUAUAAGGUACGACCCAGAGAGACCGCAAGGGAGCUGGGGAAAGGGCUGGAGAGUGCUGCCCAUUACUGGUUCCGAGGAGGACAGCUGUGAAUGUGGUGAGGUGUGUGGCCCUGCAGAGUUCUGUAUCCCUUCUCCCCAAAGACGUUGGAGACUGAGUGCUGAAACAGUGCCCCCAGGAGAUGGAGGAAAAUAUCUGCAUGGCUAAGGAGUACCUGAACAACACACCUGGGGAGAAGAGCAGUGAGAUGGACAACCACUCUGAUGGAGAAGGGUACUCUGUAGACCAACAGAGAGAAGAAACAGCAGGGUAUGGACAGAUCAUGUUUUGAGUAUUUCUUACACUCAUAUGUUGCCUACAAAUAUUGUGGGUUUAUUGGAAUGCAUUUGUUGAUAUGUCUAUUUCAAUUUUUAAGACAUGCAGAACCUAACGUUAACUGUGAGAAGAUUAAAGUCACAGGGCUGUGCCCAGGGUUGUUUCUGAAGAGGAUAGAUGUGUCGAGUCUGCCUGUACUUUAGUUUCAAUAUAGAUGCCAGACAUCUGGAUGACAUUUACAGUGAGGAUAGGAGACUUGAUGGGGAAGAUGAUUUUGCUGAACAUGAGGACUGGGUUAAGGAGGAGAUAAAAUACAAUAGCCAGUCUGAAGUAAAGGUUGAGAUCGGGUCAGCCACUGAGAUGGGACAGUCUAUUGACAUGGCUAGAAAUACUGAGAAGGUUGAGAGGGGUCAGCUAAGAAACAUAGCAAAUCAGAUGCCUGUCUCUGGGAGGGCCAAGAGAUGUGUAUCUGCCCAUCAUCUCCUCGUCCAGCCCUAACACUGCUGAGACCCUCUCCUACCUGAAACGUAAAAACAAAAGGUCCCUCCCAUAGACCAAGCCACUGCUGUCCUGACUGUGGUAAGAACUACAAACAGGCUGACUUUGUCAGUAAACACAGUUGCAGUGCCUUCCCUAAAUUCCACUGACUGUGACCAAACCUUUACUUCUCAGACAUGCCUGACCCACCACCCCAGAAUCAAUAAUACGGUUGUGGGCUGCCCUGAGUGUGGAAAGCAGUUCAGGGACAAGUAUUAUCAGAAAUGUUACGAGGACCCACACAGGUGAGACCACUUAUACAUGUAUAGACUGCGGGGACGUCUGUUUUCAGCUGAAAGGGCUGCAGGAGAAACAGCAACAUCUACACAGAAAAAGGCUGCAGUGUGUGUGGGAGGGCUUCCAUCACAGCCACAACCUGACAAAACACAAGCUUCUUCACUCCCAGGCAAAGCCCUUCCUCUGUACCCGCUGUGGAAAGAGCUUUAACCUCAAUGACAAGAUGCUGAGGCAUCUGAGGACGGUGCACGAUGAAAGCAUGUUCCCUUGGAUGUGGUACAGCGGAAGGGCAUCUUCCCCUAACCCUGCCUUGUGUCACGUUCUGACCUUUAUUUCCUUUGUUUUGUAUCUAUUUAGUACGGUCAGGGGGUGUCAGUUGGGUGGGAAGUCUGUUUGUUUUUCUAUGAUUUGGGGAUUUGUAUGUUUCGGCCUAGUAUGGUUCUCAAUCAGAGGCAGGUGUCAUUAGUUGUCUCUCAUUGAGAAUCAUACUUAGGUAGCUUGGGUUGCACUGUUUGUUUGUGGGUGAUUGUCUAUGUUGAUUGCUUGUGUCAUCACAGUUCUCAUUUAGCUUCACGGUCAUUUUGUUUAUUGUUUUUGUAUUCAGUGUUCAGUACUUUAAUUAAAUAUCAAGAAGAACACAAACCACGCCGCGUUUUGGUCCGCCUUCCCUUCAACAGAAGAAUCCCGUGACACCUUGUUAAUAAUGCUUACAUCUCAGAUCCUUUCAACUGCUUUAGUCCCAAACCAGCUAACUCAAUUACUCCAUAUGUUCAACAAUAAACAUUUAACAUCAGC